ACGGAGGGGGUUAGCGUUGUUCGGAAUUACUGGGCGUAAAGCGCACGUAGGCGGACUGGAAAGUUAGAGGUGAAAUCCCGGGGCUCAACCCCGGAACUGCCUUUAAAACUUCCAAUCUAGAGAUCGAGAGAGGUGAGUGGAAUUCCAAGUGUAGAGGUGAAAUUCGUAGAUAUUUGGAGGAACACCAGUGGCGAAGGCGGCUCACUGGCUCGAUACUGACGCUGAGGUGCGAAAGCGUGGGGAGCAAACAGG
rnacentral:rRNA from 1 species